AUUUUUUUUCAUAGCAACGCACGAGUAAUUUACUAGAGCGAGCGGCGUCGUGGUGAUCUCGCUGGCAAGCGACGGGAGGAGGACGGCGAGCUGAGCCGAAGGAGGGCGAGGCGUCCACAAGCAGGAGGCUCCCCGGUGAAUCGGGGAGACAGCGCGAGGCAUCUCCGACGGCGUGGGCCGGGCCGCCGGGCGCCGUGCUUCCUCAGAUUCGCGUUUCAGCCGCGCAUCCAGUUUGUCGCUUCCCUCGAUGUCAACGGCUCUAUGAUCAGCUGUGUUCUCUUCCUCCAUGUACUAAGCCACGACGAGGUGGUGGAGAGGCGAACCUCAAAUGCGCAACAUCAGAUCUUGCUCGCUGAGCUGCUAUUCCUGGACCAUUGAAUAGUACUCAGAGCAUACACCUAUUCGUGCCUCAUUAUGCUGUACUUGGAUGAAGUUUCCCAGAAUAGUUGGUAGUUUACAUUGACAUGGCAGGCAGGGAUGUGGAAUGACAAAAGAUGAUAUUUUGGAAGAGCUGGUUCUGGAGCUGAUGUACACCUACUUUGAGUACUUCCAAUAUUGUUUUCUACUUCCAAAGUUGUUUGGGUGGUAAAUUAUUUUUCAAGUUUGCAACCAUAUAUUUAUUAAUUUUCUACCCGUUGCACAGCACAUGCCUUUUGGCUUGGCCUUCGCCCUCCACCCACGCCAGCUGCGGUGGACGCCUAGCUCCUACAGCUCUGCAGUGAGGCAUGCAGAGAGUGACGACAACUUCUGAAGCCAUGGCUAGCCUGUGAUUACCAGAGUGGCGAUGAGUGUGAUUUGGAUACCUGUUUUGUUUGCUCCUUCUGUUUUGAUUUGAGUUGAUGGGGAUGAGAUGUGACCCUGCUGCUGGGCGUCGCAAAUGCCACGGCUCCAUGUAUGCCCCAGCUUUGGUGAUGCGCGGGCGAGGCUACUCUAUCUGGUGUAGUCGCCCUCCUUCCGAGAAAUCAAGUUCUUUUGUUCAGAUUUUAGAUCUCUUGAGUUUCAGCUUAGUUCAAGGAUAGAAAAGCAUGCUCCUUAUGGAUUCAAUGAGGAAAACCAUCAGCCACUUUUUCAGAAUUGGAUGGUGUGGUGCACCUUCAUCUUGCUAUCCAACUUCUUAGCUUAUUUGCUUUAACUUUAGUACAGUUAUAUAGCAGGAUAAGGAUCCAAUCCUGUGAUGCCACUCCAUUUCCAUCGUCAAAAGUUGCGCAUGAGUUGAUUCAGACUUUCAGAGUUCAGAGAACACCUAGCAGAGUUAAUCAGCCUGAAGGUAUAUCAGAUCCUAAGGAAAGAGGACCCGGUUCAGAUUUGUCACUACUAUGUGCUGUUGGAUAGCCAUGGUAUGUGUUAGUUUUAAUUUACCACAGAAGUUCGAUUCUUGGGAGAUAGGACAGGUGCAUACAUUACUUUUCUUAUGAAUCUGUUCUCUUUUUGUGCACUAUCUAUCUAUGAAAAUUUUCAAAGAAAUUGACGGCGGCGGUGUGGCGAAUGACGAAGCAUCUAAAAUGGAUGGAAGAGAGGUGGUAAGGCGCGGGUGGGAGACAUACAUAUUUGAGGAAAUACGAUUCAUAAGGUUUCAUAUUAACAAAAAUUGAUAGUCUUUGUAAAGUAAUCCGAACAUUUUGUUGAUUCCGGGACAACUUUAUUCUCCAAUAUGAAUCUGUAAGAAAAGAUAUGGCAUACAUUUGUGUAAAUUGAUAAUGUAAGCACAUCUCGAAACUCUAUUAUUUUUUCAAGAUUGAUUUACUUGGUGGUGCUAACUUCCAUUAUCUCAAAACAGGGCAUGUGUGCUAUUCCUGAAAAAAGAAGCUUCCCUGUUGGCUGGCAUCCCCUAUGAUACACAGGAGUAUGUAGGAAAAGAAAUGGCAUCUCAUAAUUCUUUGAAUGUAGACCAGUAGGUUCAAUUACAAAUUGUUGGCUGUAAAUGACUUUCAGUUUCUAGCUUUCAUAAAAUUUAGACAUGUACUACUCUUUAACAGUAUGAUGUGGUUGAUGGUGGUCCUAUGUGCUG
rnacentral:rRNA from 1 species